UACAGAGGGUGCAAGCGUUGUUCGGAAUUAUUGGGCGUAAAGGGCGCGUAGGCGGUUCGGCAAGUCUCUAGUGAAAUCUCUGGGCUCAACUCAGAGUCUGCUGGGGAAACUGCCGGGCUUGAGUGUGGGAGAGGAGAGUGGAAUUCCCGGUGUAGCGGUGAAAUGCGUAGAUAUCAGGAGGAACACCUGUGGUGUAGACGGCUUUCUGGACCAUAGCUGACGCUGAGGCACGAAAGCGUGGGUAGCAAACAGG
rnacentral:rRNA from 1 species